CCCUGGGAGAAGGUGGUAUGAUGGAAAGGCACUCUGCACUGCCCUGAGGAAUGCUGCAGCUCCUCCUGGGCUUGGGCAGCAAAAAUCUCCCUUGAGAUCUCCCUGAGGGGUGCACAUGCACUGAGUGAGAUUUGGCAUCACACACCAUGAUAUUGGGACUUGUGCUGAAGAAUUUUGCUGCUGUUGUUGUUGGAAUUAGCCAGGAGGAUCCCAUCUCAGUGCGGAGAACAGGGUGGGAAGCCUGAAAUGAGCACUGCAGGGCUCCAGGGGGAUGACAGAGGGGCUGGGCUGGGGAGAGCAGCCAGGGAACCUGGGGCUGAGUCAGAGGCUCCCAUCUGUGCAAGGGUUGUCCAGAGGUGAGCUUGAACUCAUCUUUGGCCAAAUGUCCUUGCUGGACUGGUCACUGAAAGGGCCUGGGUGUGCCAGAAGUCUGCUGUGCUCUGCAGUGCUUUCUCCUGGGGGGCUUUGGGGAAAAAAAGUUUGAUUUGUUUUUGUUACCAGGGGAUUUCCUGCAUUGCACCUGUGCAGGCUGGGAACAAGUGAGUGGUGGCAGGCUUGUUUGGAUGAGAGGGUGGAGGAAAGGGGAUGAGACCUCUUGGCUUAGGCUCCAGAGUCCAUGCCAAGCCCAGAACUCUGCUAAUCCCAUGCUAAACCUCUGGAAUCAAGGAGGUCUUGAAGGGAACAUUAAGGAUGGUAAAAAGGGGUGGAUAAAUUUCUCAAGCAACUGAAUUUGGAAUAGUAUUCCAAGACAGCAGCACUGUGAAUUGGCAGGGGAGCCCUGAUCCCUUGGUGCCAGGUUUUCUUUGGGGCCCUGGAGCAGCAGCAGUGGUUUGCUUUUCACUGAAGACACACACACUGUGAACAUAUGAUGGGAAGAUGUCAGGCGGUAGCAGAAGGAAUGGGGGAGACUUCCUUGGGUUUAUAAAUGACUGCAUUUCCCUUCGGCAUGACAGCUGCAGCUUCACCUCUUCUCGUGUGAACCUGGAGUCAGAAAUGCUUUAGGGUUUGAUCAGAGUCUUGAGAGGAGUGAGUCCAUGGAAUAGCAGCCACUUGUUUUAUACACAAGCUACUGGAAAACAGACAGGAUCUCUUCAUUUAGCUGAGAUGGCAUCUCCUGCAUUCUCUGGGUCUCUAGCCAAGUUCAUCCCAAAGACAAUGGGUACCACAGAUUAUGUGAAUCUUAAGGGUCAGAAAAGGAGAUUUGCAUCUGUGAAGCUGUCAUCCUGACACAUUUCAUCCAGGA